rnacentral:rRNA from 1 species
GUGGGGAAUCUUCCGCAAUGGACGAAAGUCUGACGGAGCAACGCCGCGUGAGUGAAGAAGGUUUUCGGAUCGUAAAGCUCUUUCGUUAGGGACGAACGUGCUCUUUGUGAAUAAUGAGGAGUAAUGACGGUACCUAAAUAAGAAGCCACGGCUAACUACGUGCCAGCAGCCGCGGUAAUACGUAGGUGGCAAGCGUUGUCCGGAAUUAUUGGGCGUAAAGCGCGCGCAGGCGGGAUAUCAAGUCUGUCUUAAAAGUGCGAGGCUCAACCUCGGGAUGGGACAGAAACUGGUAUUCUUGAGUUUCGGAGAGGAAAGUGGAAUUCCAAGUGUAGCGGUGAAAUGCGUAGAGAUUUGGAAGAACACCAGUGGCGAAGGCGACUUUCUGGACGAUGUCUGACGCUGAGGCACGAAAGCUAGGGGAGCGAACGGGAUUAGAUACCCGGGUAGUCC